GGAAGAAAAUAUAUGGAAUGGGAAAUCAUUGCUGAUGAAAUACAGUUCUAUGUGAAGAUCGGUUAAACAUAAUACAAUAUAAAAUACUGUGAGUUUACAAUGUUCAUAAAUUAAAACUUAAAACACAUAUGAAAAAAAACCACCUACUACAUUACGCUUACUAAUUUUUUCACCACCAAGUAGAACCUAUGAUGAACCUCAUGUAAAAUAUUUAAUUAUUUUGUGGUGGCU